rnacentral:rRNA from 1 species
AUAUUGGUCAAUGGGCGGAAGCCUGAACCAGCCAAGUCGCGUGAGGGAAGAAGGCCCUGCGGGUCGCAGACCUCUUUGGACGGGGAGCAGCGCGGCGGACGCGUCCGCCGCUUGAGAGUACCCGUAGAACAAGCAUCGGCUAACUCCGUGCCAGCAGCCGCGGUAAUACGGAGGAUGCGAGCGUUAUCCGGAUUUAUUGGGUUUAAAGGGUGCGCAGGCGGCCUUUCAAGCCGGCGGUCAAAUGUCGGGGCUCAACCCCGUGCCGCCGUCGGGACUGGAGGGCUAGAGUGGGCGAGAAGCGCGCGGAAUGCGUGGUGUAGCGGUGAAAUGCAUAGAUAUCACGCAGAACCCCGAUUGCGAAGGCAGCGCGCCGGCGCCAGACUGACGCUCAGGCACGAAAGCGUGGGUAUCGAACAGGAUUAGAUACCCUGGUAGUCCACGCAGUAAACGAUGGAUGCUAGGUGUCCGGGGUAAAUGGACCCUGGGUGCCACAGCGAAAGCGUUAAGCAUCCCACCUGGGGAGUACGCCGGCAACGGUGAAACUCAAAGGAAUUGACGGGGGCCCGCACAAGCGGAGGAACAUGUGGUUUAAUUCGAUGAUACGCGAGGAACCUUACCCGGGCUCAAACGGCGGGGGACUGGCAUCGAAAGAUGCCUUCCGGCAACGGCCGCCGCCGAGGUGCUGCAUGGUUGUCGUCAGCUCGUGCCGUGAGGUGUCGGCUUAAGUGCCAUAACGAGCGCAACCCCCACCGCCAGUUGCCAGCAGGUAGAGCUGGGGACUCUGGCGGGACUGCCGGCGCAAGCUGCGAGGAAGGCGGGGAUGACGUCAAAUCAGCACGGCCCUUACGUCCGGGGCGACACACGUGUUACAAUGGCGGGUACAGCGGGAAGCCACCCGGCGACGGGGAGCGGAACCCGAAAGCCCGUCUCAGUCCGGAUCGGAGUCUGCAACCCGACUCCGUGAAGCUGGAUUC